AGAGAGAGAGAGAGAGAGAGAGAGAGAGAGAGGAAACUACUCCCUCAAGGAACCACAGAAGAGGCUUGUCUAAGAAGAGUACUGCCCAGUACCGCCUUUGCCUGCUCUCCAGAGUUCACACUGCCUCCUCUUCUAGUCUCAGCAGCUUGGAUGUGCAAGUGAUUCCCAAAGGGAGAGAAUACCGGGUCUUUGAGGCCCUCCAAUGGCAUAUCAGUGGGAUAUGAGCAUGGACUGAAGGUCAAAGCCCUGGCACCACAUAGACGAUCCAUCUCUGUUUUUGCAGAAAGUAGCUGCCACACACUGUUAGAGCAGGCACGAAGGGCAUGAGACAUCCAUUUGUCUUCCUUCCCACCCUCCAGACAGACUGGAAGAGGCAUUGGAUUGUAUUGGAGGAAGGUGACUAUGUCAAGUGUCAUCCUCAGUGCUGGGAUUAAAGCCUUGUGCUACCAAGUUCAGCUUCUUCCCUCUUGUGGAUAGUGUCUUCCUGUGUAACCCAGACUGACCUUGGGCUUGGGACUUUCCUAGCUCAUCCUCCUGAGUGCCGGGACUACAAGGUUUUACUGCCACCUGCAGCUAGUCAUCCCAGCCCAUGGACAUGCACAGUGGACUGCACUCCUGAGACUUCAGCCAUCUCAUGACUCCUGACUGGUUCAGUGAGUUCCUCCAUCCCAGGUGACAAUGCAUAGCAAUCAGUUCACUGCUUUCCAAGGAAACACAGGAAGAUGAAGACAAGCUCUAAUAGCUCUGUAGCUUUUCAACGACUUUGUGUUUGUGGAUCACAGUGGUAGCCAUGUAGGUCUGAAGCCUACUCAACAUAGACAUACUCAUGAAUACAUCUCUGCAAAGCUAGUAUGCUUUGAGAAUGGGCCAGAGAAGCAGAGACUUAGCACGGAAGUGUCCUGACUGCUCAUAAUUCAGACUUACAGGUCUGUGCAGCUGAGGGUCAUUCAGAAAACCUGAUUUCUCUGGACCCUCCCAUGUUCUAACAAGGUUGCAACUGCCCGUGAGGCUCCAGGACGUCUGCACUGGAGCUGGCAUGCCAUGGGACAAUCUAGUGAAGUCAGCAUUCUUAGCCUCUGUGUCAGAUGGAGUGGCUCUUGUUCAUCUGUAGGGCCUCACAGCUGUCUACCAGCUCUCUCUGUCAGAGCCACUUCAACUAGACACAGAAGAGGAUAAGCUUGAAACUUCCAGACCCCAUGGUGUGGAACACUGUGCCUGCUGACCUGGGUGAUCUAGCCACCCAUCACUUUAUAUGCUACUAGGCAGCCCCACUCUAUAGACCAGAGAGAAGGCUGUGACUGCCAGAGCCAGGAAGUUGGUGGAUUGGGGAGCAGGGUGGGGGGGGGGAGGGGAUAGGGGACGUUCAAAGAGGAAACUAGGAAAGGGGAUAGCAUUUGAAAUGUAAAUGAAGAAAAUACUUAAUAAAAAAUAAAAAAUAAAAGGAAUGAUAUUUAGAAUAUUUUAAAAAGCCUACUUUUAAUGAUAGUUCUUAAACGAUUUAACCUCCCUUCUAGCACACCACCCACAGGAGGUAAUGGGGUGGGGGGAAAAAAGGAUACAGGGGAAGUGGAUCUGCUUAGAUUUUUUUUUUUUUUUGAGUAAAUCCUAUCUGCAUUGUCAGGAAAUCAGAAGCUCAGUUUGCAGGUCAGCAGCAGUAGCUUGAUUCACUUGCAAACACUUCACAGAUACACUAGCAGUCCAGUUAAGUAGGGCUGUGAUAGCAGCAGGUAGCACAACCUGGCAGGAUUUGGACCAGCAAGGAUGUCAGGAGCAGUUCUUGGCUGUGCUUCUCUCAGUGAAGUGAAGAUCAGCGAAGACAUGAGACCAACAAGUGUUGCACAGCAAGUCAAGCUCAACCUCCUUCACUGGCCGUCAAGUCCUAUUUAUACUCCCUCCAGACACAUCCUCCACGGGGCUUGUCUCAGCACUGUGAUUGUCUCAGCACAUGAACAUCACUCUGCCAAUCAGCUCAAGUCCGGGGCAGUGGCAAGAAACUGAAGCACAUCACCAGAAGUUUUUUGGUGUGCUUCUCCUUAUGGAGUCCUGACAAAUGGUACUUGACUACUAAAUGUAAGGCAGACCAAUGCAUGUGUGUCAUUAGCAAAGGAUCCUUCAUCGCAUAGCCUUACUCGUGCUUGCUUUAGCAAAAUAUUCUUUCACUUGUGUCUACUUCAGGAAAACCCUCCUUCAUGAGUUUGACUCAGCAAAACACCAUUCAACACUUUCCAAAGAACCCUUAAGUUUCCACUUCAAAAGGCAUCAGAGAAGACAUAUUCAAUACCCUGUAAGACCAGUGAGGAUAAAUCUGUGGGGCUUUUGCCCAACUCUAAGUCCCGGGGGCCUGUGGCUAUGGUGGGGAGAGGGAGGAACCACCUUCCUGAUCUAUUCCUCACUUCAACUUUAUUCGCUGACAUAAUCCACACUAUGAGCCAUCCAGAGUGAGUGUUGAGGCAAGCCCCCACCUGUGUGGGAUGUUACUGUUUUCUCCCACUGCUGAGAUGUAUGCUUCUCAUGUCAAGAUCCACAUAAUAUCAAGCUUAUCAUUGUAGCACCUUGGUAAUACCAAACUCAUCAAACUCAUUCAUUCCUGGGACCAUCACUGCCACCCAGACUGAAGCUCUCCACUUUUCACCCCAGUCUACCUGCGGAGACUAGAGGGGUGUUCUCUCUCUCAUGUUCUCUCUCUCUCUCUCUC